rnacentral:rRNA from 1 species
CAGUAGCCACGGUAAUACGUAGGGUGCGAGCGUUAAUCGGAAUUACUGGGCGUAAAGCGUGCGCAGGCGGUUCGUUAAGACAGAUGUGAAAUCCCCGGGCUUAACCUGGGAACUGCAUUUGUGACUGGCGAGCUAGAGUAUGGCAGAGGGGGGCAGAAUUCCACGUGUAGCAGUGAAAUGCGUAGAGAUGUGGAGGAAUACCGAUGGCGAAGGCAGCCCCCUGGGCCAAUACUGACGCUCAUGCACGAAAGCGUGGGGAGCAAACAGGAUUAGAUACCCCCGUAGUCCCUGUCUCUUAUAC